UACAGAGGAUGCAAGCGUUAUCCGGAAUGAUUGGGCGUAAAGCGUCUGUAGGUGGCUUUUUAAGUCCGCCGUCAAAUCCCAGGGCUCAACUCUGGACAGGCGGUGGAAACUACCAAGCUGGAGUACGGUAGGGGCAGAGGGAAUUUCCGGUGGAGCGGUGAAAUGCGUAGAGAUCUGGAAGAACACCGAAGGCGAAGGCAGCGUUCUGGGAAGCAACUGACGCUCAUGUGCGAAAGCCAGGGGAGCGAACGGG
rnacentral:rRNA from 1 species